rnacentral:rRNA from 1 species
GAUGAACGCUGGCGGCGUGCCUAAUACAUGCAAGUCGAGCGAACAGACGAGGAGCUUGCUCCUCUGACGUUAGCGGCGGACGGGUGAGUAACACGUGGAUAACCUACCUAUAAGACUGGGAUAACUUCGGGAAACCGGAGCUAAUACCGGAUAAUAUAUUGAACCGCAUGGUUCAAUAGUUAAAGACGGUUUUGCUGUCACUUAUAGAUGGAUCCGCGCCGCAUUAGCUAGUUGGUAAGGUAACUGCUUACCAAGGCAACGAUGCGUAGCCGACCUGAGAGGGUGAUCGGCCACACUGGAACUGAGACACGGUCCAGACUCCUACGGGAGGCAGCAGUAGGGAAUCUUCCGCAAUGGGCGAAAGCUUGACGGAGCAACGCCGCGUGAGUGAUGAAGGUCUUCGGAUCGUAAAACUCUGUUAUUAGGGAAGAAAAAAUGUGUAAGUAACUAUGCACGUCUUGACGGUACCUAAUCAGAAAGCAACGGCUAACUACGUG